GCCUGGCUAGCUCAGUUGGUAGAGCGUGGGACCCUUGAUCUCAGGAUCAUGGGUUUGUGCCCCAUGCUGGGUG
rnacentral:tRNA from 1 species